rnacentral:rRNA from 1 species
GACGAACGCUGGCGGCGUGCUUAACACAUGCAAGUCGAACGGAAAGGCCCUGCUUUUGUGGGGUGCUCGAGUGGCGAACGGGUGAGUAACACGUGAGUAACCUGCCCUUGACUUUGGGAUAACUUCAGGAAACUGGGGCUAAUACCGGAUAGGAGCUCCUGCUGCAUGGUGGGGGUUGGAAAGUUUCGGCGGUUGGGGAUGGACUCGCGGCUUAUCAGCUUGUUGGUGGGGUAGUGGCUUACCAAGGCUUUGACGGGUAGCCGGCCUGAGAGGGUGACCGGCCACAUUGGGACUGAGAUACGGCCCAGACUCCUACGGGAGGCAGCAGUGGGGAAUAUUGCACAAUGGGCGGAAGCCUGAUGCAGCAACGCCGCGUGCGGGAUGACGGCCUUCGGGUUGUAAACCGCUUUCGCCUGUGACGAAGCGUGAGUGACGGUAAUGGGUAAAGAAGCACCGGCUAACUACGUGCCAGCAGCCGCGGUGAUACGUAGGGUGCGAGCGUUGUCCGGAUUUAUUGGGCGUAAAGGGCUCGUAGGUGGUUGAUCGCGUCGGAAGUGUAAUCUUGGGGCUUAACCCUGAGCGUGCUUUCGAUACGGGUUGACUUGAGGAAGGUAGGGGAGAAUGGAAUUCCUGGUGGAGCGGUGGAAUGCUCAGAUAUCAGGAGGAACACCAGUGGCGAAGGCGGUUCUCUGGGCCUUUCCUGACGCUGAGGAGCGAAAGCGUGGGGAGCGAACAGGCUUAGAUACCCUGUAGUCCACGCUGUAAACGGUGGGUACUAGGUGUGGGGUCCAUUCCACGGGUUCCGCGCCGUAGCUAACGCUUUAAGUACCCCGCCUGGGGAGUACGGCCGCAAGGCUAAAACUCAAAGGAAUUGACGGGGCCCCGCACAAGCGGCGGAGCAUGCGGAUUAAUUCGAUGCAACGCGUAGAACCUUACCUGGGUUUGACAUGGAUCGGGAGUGCUCAGAGAUGGGUGUGCCUCUUUUGGGGUCGGUUCACAGGUGGUGCAUGGCUGUCGUCAGCUCGUGUCGUGAGAUGUUGGGUUAAGUCCCGCAACGAGCGCAACCCUUGUUCACUGUUGCCAGCACGUUAUGGUGGGGACUCAGUGGAGACCGCCGGGGUCAACUCGGAGGAAGGUGGGGAUGACGUCAAGUCAUCAUGCCCCUUAUGUCCAGGGCUUCACGCAUGCUACAAUGGCUGGUACAGAGAGUGGCGAGCCUGUGAGGGUGAGCGAAUCUCGGAAAGCCGGUCUCAGUUCGGAUUGGGGUCUGCAACUCGACCUCAUGAAGUCGGAGUCGCUAGUAAUCGCAGAUCAGCAACGCUGCGGUGAAUACGUUCCCGGGGCU